GACGAACGCUGGCGGCGUGCCUAACACAUGCAAGUCGAACGGAGAGCAUUCCUUCGGGGAUGUUUCUUAGUGGCGAACGGGUGAGUAACGCGUGAGCAACCUGCCUUUCAGUGGGGGACAACAGUUGGAAACGACUGCUAAUACCGCAUAAUGUUUCAUUUGGGCAUCCUUAUGAAACCAAAGAUCUAUUGCUGAAAGAUGGGCUCGCGUCUGAUUAGCUGGUUGGCGGGGUAACGGCCCACCAAGGCGACGAUCAGUAGCCGGACUGAGAGGUCGAUCGGCCACAUUGGGACUGAGAUACGGCCCAGACUCCUACGGGAGGCAGCAGUGGGGAAUAUUGGGCAAUGGGCGAAAGCCUGACCCAGCAACGCCGCGUGAGGGACCAGAAGGUUCUCGUGAUUGUAAACCUCUUUGUACCAGGGACAGAGAGAAAGUGACGGUACCUGGAGAAAAAGCCACGGCUAACUACGUGCCAGCAGCCGCGGUAAUACGUAGGUGGCAAGCGUUGUCCGGAUUUACUGGGUGUAAAGGGCGUGUAGGCGGGAAGGCAGGUCAGAUGUGAAAUGUCGGGGCUCAACCCCGGAACUGCAUUUGAAACCACUUUUCUUGAGUAUCGGAGAGGCAGGCGGAAUUCCUAGUGUAGCGGUGAAAUGCAUAGAUAUUAGGAAGAACACCAGUGGCGAAGGCGGCCUGCUGGACGACAACUGACGCUGAGGCGCGAAAGCGUGGGGAGCAAACAGGAUUAGAUACCCUGGUAGUCCACGCCGUAAACGAUGGAUACUAGGUGUGGGGAGUAUUGAUCCUCUCCGUGCCGCCGUUAACACAGUAAGUAUCCCACCUGGGGAGUACGACCGCAAGGUUGAAACUCAAAGGAAUUGACGGGGGUCCGCACAAGCAGUGGAUUAUGUGGUUUAAUCCGACGCAACGCGAAGAACCUUACCAGGGCUUGACAUCCUACUAACGAAACAGAGAUGCAUUAGGUGCCCUUCGGGGAAAGUAGAGACAGGUGGUGCAUGGUUGUCGUCAGCUCGUGUCGUGAGAUGUUGGGUUAAGUCCCGCAACGAGCGCAACCCUUAUGGUUAGUUGCUACGCAAGAGCACUCUAGCCAGACCGCCGUUGACAAAACGGAGGAAGGUGGGGAUGACGUCAAAUCAUCAUGCCCCUUACGUCCUGGGCUACACACGUAAUACAAUGGCAGUUAACAGAGGGAAGCAAUACCGCGAGGUGGAGCAAAUCCCUAAAAGCUGUCCCAGUUCGGACUGCAGGCUGCAACCCGCCUGCACGAAGUCGGAAUUGCUAGUAAUCGCGGAUCAGAAUGCCGCGGUGAAUACGUUCCCGGACCU
rnacentral:rRNA from 1 species